ensembl:lncRNA
GUUCUAUGUCGGUGAGGUUUUUUUGCUGGUAUUCCUGGUCCUUAGGCAUUUCAUAUUCAACUUAAAUAGCAGUUUUUGUUGUGGCUAAUCUGCGUUUCAGUUCUUUUUUUCCGGUCCUCAAAAAAAAUGAAUCCACCAAAUGUGGACUAGGCAAACUCGUUUCCGGAAACUUUCUCUUUGGACCUAGAAGCUACCAGAGGGAAUGCCUCGCGCUUCGAGACCUCCUCAACCCUAGAAUGAAAAGUCAGUGCAAGCAGAAUUGCCGCUGGGCCGCAGUUGACUUCCGUCCCCACUAGGCCAUAGCUGACUUUGUUGACCGUAGCUGACCGUUCUCCGGCGCCGACUCUCAAUUCCUGGUCCCGGCCCCCCCAUGUCUGGCCCCGAUACCGCCAAUUCCAGCCCACAGACUCCUGGCCCACAAGCCUCCAAUGGCGGCUGCCAACUCCUGAUUCCAGAAACCCAACUUCUGACCCCGACACCGCAGACUCAGGAACCGCCAAUUCUUCCCCAUCAAAUACGGACCCCCGGAACUGAUUCCACCCCGCGCCUUCGGUCGCCCAGAGUCCGGCUCCGCGCCUUCUGUCGCCCAGAGUCCGGCUCCGCGCCUUCUGUCGCCCAGAGUCCGGCUCCGCGCCUUCUGUCGCCCAGAGUCCGGCUCCGCGCCUUCUGUCGCCCAGAGUCCGGCUCCGCGCCUUCUGUCGCCCAGAGUCCGGCUCCGCGCCUUCUGUCGCCCAGAGUCCGGCUCCGCGCCUUCUGUCGCCCAGAGUCCGGCUCCGCGCCUUCUGUCGCCCAGAGUCCGGCUCCGCGCCUUCUGUCGCCAGUACCCUAGAGCCCGGCCCUAUUCAUGGAAAAAACACUGCCACUGCUGCGAGGGCUAGACAAGAAGCAAGGCAAAAUAUCCUAGAAGUUGGAUGGGAUCAACCCUUGAUAGCCUGCCGGCCUGCUCAUUGCCCCCAUCCAUGUGGGACCUGGCCUGCCCACGUUGUUCCACCAUGCUCAGCCUCUUCUCCUUCCUGCCCUCUGCCAUCCAUCAAAUAUGAGCAUUUUUGAAUAAAUCACUUCAAAUUUGUCUCCAGUUGUGCUCUGAACUUCACUGUUUAAACCACUCAAUGUUUAAAAUGUUAAAUUACAUGAAG